UGGGGAAUUUUGGACAAUGGGCGAAAGCCUGAUCCAGCAAUGCCGCGUGUGUGAAGAAGGCCUUCGGGUUGUAAAGCACUUUUGUCCGGAAAGAAAUCCUUGGCUCUAAUACAGUCGGGGGAUGACGGUACCGGAAGAAUAAGCACCGGCUAACUACGUGCCAGCAGCCGCGGUAAUACGUAGGGUGCAAGCGUUAAUCGGAAUUACUGGGCGUAAAGCGUGCGCAGGCGGUUUGCUAAGACCGAUGUGAAAUCCCCGGGCUCAACCUGGGAACUGCAUUGGGUGACUGGCAGGCUAGAGUAUGGCAGAGGGGGGUAGAAUUCCACGUGUAGCAGUGAAAUGCGUAGAGAUGUGGAGGAAUACCGAUGGCGAAGGCAGCCCCCUGGGCCAAUACUGACGCUCAUGCACGAAAGCGUGGGGAGCAAACAGGAUUAGAUACCCUGGGUAGUCCACGCCCUAAACGAUGUCAACUAGUUGUUGGGGAUUCAUUUCCUUAGUAACGUAGCUAACGCGUGAAGUUGACCGCCUGGGGAGUACGGUCGCAAGAUUAAAACUCAAAGGAAUUGACGGGGUC
rnacentral:rRNA from 1 species